UGCUCCCUACGGGAGGCAGCAGUGAGGAAUAUUGGUCAAUGGGCGGAAGCCUGAACCAGCCAAGUCGCGUGAGGGAAUAAGGCCCUACGGGUCGUAAACCUCUUUUGCCGGGGAGCAAGGGCCGGGACGCGUCCCGGCCCGGAGAGUACCCGGAGAAAAAGCAUCGGCUAACUCCGUGCCAGCAGCCGCGGUAAUACGGAGGAUGCAAGCGUUAUCCGGAUUUAUUGGGUUUAAAGGGUGCGCAGGCGGAUUUUUAAGUCAGCGGUCAAAUCGUGGGGCUCAACCUCAUCCAGCCGUUGAAACUG
rnacentral:rRNA from 1 species